rnacentral:rRNA from 1 species
GACAAACGCUGGCGGCGUGCUUAACACAUGCAAGUCGAACGGUACUCCUACGGGAGUAUAGUGGCGGACGGGUGAGUAACACGUAGCUAAUCUACCCUGAUGUGGGGAAUAACCCCUCGAAAGAGGAGCUAAGACCGCAUAAGUUCUCUCUUGUUAGAGAGAGAAGAAACUUUGGCAGUGAAAAGCCAGAGGCGUUAGGAUGAGGCUGCGGCGGAUUAGCUAGAUGGUGGGGAAAAGCCUACCAUGGCGACGAUCCGUAGCUGGUCUGAGAGGACGACCAGCCACACUGGGACUGAGACACGGCCCAGACUCCUACGGGAGGCAGCAGUGAGGAAUAUUCCACAAUGGGCGCAAGCCUGAUGGAGCGACGCCGCGUGGGGGAAGAAGCCUUUCGGGUGGUAACCUCUUUUCUUUCGGUAUGAUACGAGGGAAGCCGCAGGGUAAAUCCCUCUAAGACAGUACGGAAGGAAUAAGCAUCGG